rnacentral:tRNA from 1 species
GGGCUCAUAACCCGAAGGUCGUAGGUUCAAAUCCUGCCCCCGCAACCA